rnacentral:rRNA from 1 species
UACGAAGGGGGCUAGCGUUGCUCGGAAUCACUGGGCGUAAAGGGUGCGUAGGCGGGUCUUUAAGUCAGGGGUGAAAUCCUGGAGCUCAACUCCAGAACUGCCUUUGAUACUGAGGAUCUUGAGUUCGGGAGAGGUGAGCGGAACUGCGAGUGUAGAGGUGAAAUUCGUAGAUAUUCGCAAGAACACCAGUGGCGAAGGCGGCUCACUGGCCCGGUACUGACGCUGAGGUGCGAAAGCGUGGGGAGCAAACAGG